AGUGAACGCUGGCGGCGUGCUUAACACAUGCAAGUCGAACGAGAACGGAAUAUAGCUUGCUAUAUUUGUCAGCUAAGUGGCGCACGGGUGAGUAAUGUAUAGAUAACCUGCCCUUAAGAAAGGAAUAACAGUUGGAAACGACUGCUAAUGCCCUAUAUGCCUUUAAUACAUAAGUAUGCAAGGGAAACGCUUUAGUGCUUAAGGAUGGGUCUGUAUGGUAUCAGCUUGUUGGUGAGGUAAUGGCUCACCAAGGCUAUGACGCCUAACUGGUUUGAGAGGAUGAUCAGUCACACUGGAAUUGAGACACGGUCCAGACUCCUACGGGAGGCAGCAGUGGGGAAUAUUGCACAAUGGACGAAAGUCUGAUGCAGCAACGCCGCGUGGAGGAUGACACAUUUCGGUGCGUAAACUCCUUUUAUAUAGGAAGAUAAUGACAGUACUAUAUGAAUAAGCACCGGCUAACUCCGUGCCAGCCGCCGCGGUAACAC
rnacentral:rRNA from 1 species